rnacentral:lncRNA from 1 species
GUUGGAGUAUUUUAACUCGACGUGCGUGUGCGCAUGGCCUUGGUCGGCGUGGAACAGCAGGCUGCUUCGGGAGGGGGAGGGCACAUCCGGGCACCUGUCCUGCAAGCGAGCCUCGGGACCUGGGUUCUCUGUGACGUCCUGGCCUUCAGCUAAGGAGCAUGUUGGCAUGGGAUGUGGGAAAUGGCAAGACCCCAGAAAUGGACAGAUAGAAGGAAAGACGGCUGCUAAGCAGACAUUAUGCUACACAGAGUCCAGGCCAGCCCAUGUCGCAGAGCGGUUACUUACAUUAAGAAAGGAUUCUGUGUCAAGUGUUUGAGUUAAUUUCUACCUCUUAGGAUCGAGGGAAGUAGGGUUUAAUAUUUCCAUGUAGGGAGAGGAACACCCAGGCUCAGGGAAGUAACUGACCUACUCUCGCGUGGUUCCAGAGGUGGAUUUUCGGACACCAAAGUCGUUCUCCCACCCUGAAGGUCCCAUUCAAGCCAGAGCCGGAGUGUAAGGUCAUGGAUUCUCCCACUCGCUUGCCCUAGGGGUUAAAUUGUACACUGCCCCUGUUAAGGCAUAUCCAGGACUUUAAAGGUCUCCCUGUUGGCCAACACUAACCUGGGAUGGUGAAGUCAGGAUAAUGAAUUCCCUUCACUUACCCUUCAGCUUUUCCCAAAGAUCCUGCAGACACCCGCACACAGAGAAAAUGCAUCUUUGGCUUUGUUUUCUCCAUGACACAGUGCUGUCCGGUCUCCUUCCUUUUGACCUGACAGUGGGGUGGUGACUCUUGCUGCGGACUGAAGUGUCAGCAGGCGCUUGUGCGGAAGAGACAGUCUGAAGAGGUGGGGGCUUCUGGAGGUGACCGGGCUUUGCAGGCAGUCUCCUGAGUGGAAUCAGUGUCCUUACAGAAGAGACCCCAGGGAGCUCCCUCCCUGCCCCUUUGCCACUGAGCAUAGAGCAAGAAGACGGUCCGUGGCUCAGGAACUUCUCCAACACUGAGCCUGCCAGCACCCUGACCUUAAGAAACACGCGUCUGUUGUCCAUAAGCCACUCAGGGUACAGCAGGUAGUUAGAGCAGCCUGGGCCAAGGCACUUUCUUUUCCCCUUUCUGUUUCU